rnacentral:rRNA from 1 species
UACGUGAGGGGCGAACGUUGUUCGGUGUCACUGGGCUUAAAGGGUGCGUAGGUGGUUGUGUAAGUAACGUGUGAAAUCCCUCGGCUUACCCGGGGAAUUGCAUGUUAUACUGCAUGACUUGAGGACUAAAGGGGAAAAGGGAACUCCAGGUGUAGCGGUGAAAUGCGCAGAUAUCUGGGGGAAGGCCGGCGGCGAAGGCGGCCUCCUGGCUCGAUACUGACGCUGAGGUGCGAAAGCGUGGGGAUCAAACAGGG